rnacentral:misc_RNA from 1 species
UGGAUCAUGGUCUUUUGUCGAGAGUGUACACCUUUGGACUGGACUGAAAUACAAGAAGCUGUAUGGAUUAGUGCGGUUUGACCUGACGUUGUAGACUUUUCAACUCGUUGGGGACGCAUGAAUCUAAUGAGUUUAACAAAUCACUAAUCUGAUUAGUACAAUCAGACCUCAAAUCAAGUAGGACUACCCGCUGAACUUAA